rnacentral:rRNA from 1 species
AAGUCGUAACAAGGUUUCCGUAGGUGAACCUGCGGAAGGAUCAUUAUUAUAAUGCGUGGAAAUGCCCCUAACAAGGGCAUACUCUAUAAAACUCUAAACUUACAGUCUGAGAAGGCCAUGUGCCGUAUUCUUUAAACCUUUUAAAACUUUCAACAACGGAUCUCUUGGCUCUCGCAUCGAUGAAGAACGCAGCGAAAUGCGAUAAGUAAUGUGAAUUGCAGAAUUCAGUGAAUCAUCGAAUCUUUGAACGCACAUUGCGCCCUUUGGUAUUCCAUAGGGCAUGCCUGUUCGAGCGUCACUAACAACCCCAUCACAAAUAGUGUGGUAUUGGCAGAAGUGGGUAGGGCUAGCACGGUUGGCCCCACUCUGCUGGAAUGAAUAGGCCGGAAAUGUAGACCAUGGUAACAGACUUUCAGAGUAUUUUCAAAUGCUAAAUUAGUUUGUAGGCCUGGUCAGAAUCCAGGCCAUUGGACCCCCAUUCUGUGUAAAGCAGUAAUGUUGACCUCGGAUCAGGUAGGGAUACCCGCUGAACUUAAGCAUAUCAAUAAGCGGAGGAAAAGAAACCAACAGGGAUUGCCUUAGUAACGGCGAGUGAAGCGGCAAAAGCUCAAAUUUGAAAUCUGGCACCUCUGGUGCUCGAGUUGUAAUUUGGAGAGGCAUCUUCUGGAGGGGCCCAGCCUAUGUGCCUUGGAACAGGACGUCAUAGAGGGUGAGAAUCCCGUACUUGGCUGGAUGUUCCCUCCUGUAUGUAGUGUCUUCUACGAGUCGAGUUGUUUGGGAAUGCAGCUCAAAAUGGGUGGUAAAUUUCAUCUAAAGCUAAAUAUUGGCGAGAGACCGAUAGCGCACAAGUAGAGUGAUCGAAAGAUGAAAAGCACUUUGAAAAUAGAGUCAAACAGUACGUGAAAUUGUUGAAAGGGAAGCGCUUAGGACCAGACUCAGCCUUUGGUGAACAACUGCCCACCGGGGCGGUGCACUUGUCAUUGGUUGGGCCAGCAUGGGUUGGGACGGUGGGAUAAAGGCUCGGGAAAUGUGACUCCUUUAUGGAGUGUUAUAGUCCCGGGUGGCAUGCCACCAGUCCCGACUGUGGAACGCGCACCGGCACGGAUGCUGGGCAUAAUGGUCUUCAGCGACCCGUCUUGAAACACGGACC